GAUGAACGCUGGCGGCGUGCCUAAUACAUGCAAGUCGAGCGAACAGACGAGGAGCUUGCUCCUCUGACGUUAGCGGCGGACGGGUGAGUAACACGUGGAUAACCUACCUAUAAGACUGGGAUAACUUCGGGAAACCGGAGCUAAUACCGGAUAAUAUAUUGAACCGCAUGGUUCAAUAGUGAAAGACGGUUUUGCUGUCACUUAUAGAUGGAUCCGCGCCGCAUUAGCUAGUUGGUAAGGUAACGGCUUACCAAGGCAACGAUGCGUAGCCGACCUGAGAGGGUGAUCGGCCACACUGGAACUGAGACACGGUCCAGACUCCUACGGGAGGCAGCAGUAGGGAAUCUUCCGCAAUGGGCCAAAACCUGACGGAGCAACGCCGCGUGAGUGAUGAAGGUCUUCGGAUCGUAAAACUCUGUUAUUAGGGAAGAACAAAUGUGUAAGUAACUAUGCACGUCUUGACGGUACCUAAUCAGAAAGCCACGGCUAACUACGUG
rnacentral:rRNA from 1 species